CGACGAGUUUUUCAUAUUUCAUGCAAGUUGGUUUUCCGGAGAAUGACUCGAUGAUCCAUAAUCAUAAUCACAUUCAUUGACUAAUCCUCAGAGAAGUGAACCGUAAAAGCCCUUUCUUUCAAUUAAAUCAUUAGACGUCGAAGAAGGCAGAUAACGUCCACCUUGAGAUGCAUGAUAUAUGGAUCAUGAUAACAGACGCUACUCAAAUUUUAGACAGAACCAAAUCCUUCUCUAAUAUAAAUCGAAAGCUGUUUUCCUGGCAUAUAUUAGUCUCAUAAACACUUCUUGUUCAUCGUAAAUCAACCAAAUUGCAUAAUAACAUUGUCCAAAGGAAUUAAGGGGGCAAGAUAACUAAAACCUAAAUUUGAAGGCACAUCGAAGGGCCACCAUCUCAGAAAAGCAAACCCACACAUCAUCUUUAUAAAUAUCAUAUCACGAAGCAAACCGAGGAUAAUGAAACUGGUUACUGCAACAGAAUUGCAACAUCCAAGUAAUCACCUAUCUGCAUAUGGCAAGACACAAGUCAAAUCCAAUUCGUGAAACAAUACUGGGAAAGUUGCAUGCCUUGCCACUAAUGUAUUGCCUCAGUAGCUAGCCAUCCAAACUUUCAAAGGGAGCAAGACAACCCCUAAGCUAUCAUUAUUUUUGCACAAGCGAUCACCAAAGACUGAAACAAAUCCAAAUCUCCAUUAAUUGUCACGUGCCACAUGAUCAAUUUUAUGAAGUUUUUUUUUUUUUUUUUUUUUUUUUUUGGGGGGGGGGGGGGGGG
rnacentral:lncRNA from 1 species